rnacentral:rRNA from 1 species
AUUGAACGCUGGCGGCAUGCCUUACACAUGCAAGUCGAACAGCAGCACGGGAGCAAUCCUGGUGGCGAGUGGCGAACGGGUGAGUAAUGUAUCGGAACGUACCUUUCAGUGGGGGAUAACGUAGCGAAAGUUACGCUAAUACCGCAUAUUCUGUGAGCAGGAAAGCAGGGGAUCGCAAGACCUUGCGCUGAUUGAGCGGCCGAUAUCAGAUUAGCUAGUUGGUGAGGUAAAGGCUCACCAAGGCGACGAUCUGUAGCGGGUCUGAGGGGAUGAUCCGCCACACUGGAACUGAGACACGGUCCAGACUCCUACGGGAGGCAGCAGUGGGGAAUUUUGGACAAUGGGCGCAAGCCUGAUCCAGCCAUGCCGCGUGAGUGAAGAAGGCC